GAUGAACGCUGGCGGCGUGCCUAAUACAUGCAAGUCGAGCGAACAGAUAAGGAGCUUGCUCCUUUGACGUUAGCGGCGGACGGGUGAGUAACACGUGGAUAACCUACCUAUAAGACUGGGAUAACUUCGGGAAACCGGAGCUAAUACCGGAUAACAUAUUGAACCGCAUGGUUCAAUAGUGAAAGGCGGCUUUGCUGUCACUUAUAGAUGGAUCCGCGCCGUAUUGGCUAGUUGGUAAGGUAACGGCUUACCAAGGCAACGAAAGGUAACCGACCUGAGAGGGUGAUCGGCCACACUGGAACGAGGAGACGGUCAAGACUCCUAGGGGAGGCAGCAGGAGGGAAUCUUUCGGAGAGGGAGAAAGGCUGACGGAGCAACGACGCGUGAGUGAUGAAGGUCUUAGGAUCGGAAAACUCUGUUAGCAGGGAAGAACAAAAGGGUAAGUAACUGUGCACAUCAUGAAGGGACCUGAUCAGAAAGCCACGGCUAACUACGUG
rnacentral:rRNA from 1 species